rnacentral:rRNA from 1 species
CCUACGGGUGGCAGCAGUGAGGAAUAUUGGUCAAUGGGCUUACGCCUGAACCAGCCAAGUCGCGUGAGGGAAGACUGCCCUAUGGGUUGUAAACCUCUUUUGUCAGGGAGAAACGCCGGCUACGUGUAGCCGGACUGAGAGUACCUGAAGAAAAAGCAUCGGCUAACUCCGUGCCAGCAGCCGCGGUAAUACGGAGGAUGCGAGCGUUAUCCGGAUUAAUGGGGGUUAAAGGGUGCGUAGGCGAAAGGCCAAGUCAGCGGUAAAAUCGCGGGGCCCAACCCCGCACCGACGUUGAAACUGGCGUUCUUGAGUGGGCGAGAGGUAUGCGGAAUGCGUGGUGUAGCGGUGAAAUGCGUAGAUAUCACGCAGAACUCCGAUUGCGAAGGCAGCAUACCGGCGCCCAACUGACGCUGAGGCACGAAAGCGUGGGUAUCGAACAGGAUUAGAUACCCCAGUAGUC